UCCGCUUACGUACGUCUAU
rnacentral:sRNA from 1 species